CACACACACAUGCACAUUCCCACAGCCGCUUUUUUUUGUGUUUGCCCGUUUUCAUUAUUUUAGUGAAAUUUGCAUACCACCGACCAGACCAGACCACCAACAACCGAACUUUGACAAUGCAAUUUGAAAAGCCUGACGUUCGUCCGAUCCCCGCCUGCCCUGCCACAUGUGGCUAAACAUUAGCGGUCACUUGUGGGAGCCUGCCCCUUGGACUGCUGCUGGCUUUGCGGCUUUUUUCGGGCUAUUGCUAUGCUCCGGAAAACGUUCUUAAUGAGCCUCAUACGGAUUUUGUGGCUUCUCUGGCUUGAAUCGAUGCAAAGUUGGGCCCCAAACAAUAGGCUGAGGACUGUCCUGGGAUUGGCUUUGAAGAGGAGUACCAGCAAGACUUGUAGAUGCAUAUCAAGUCGUGUCCUGGUCCUUCCUUGUCCACACCCGGCGCAAUUCUAGCACUAGGAGCCCAUUGUUUGCACUCAAAUUAUUUACACAUUAUCUGCGGGCACAGGAGCCAGCCGGAGGACGAGCACAGUGGCCCCAAGGAGCACACACACACACACACACACAUUGAGAGAGCCAGUUGUUAUUUUAAUAGUUUAAGUAACCAUAAUAUGUUGAGGACUUUUUAAUAAACUUGAAACACGAGCAAGCGUGAGCCACAAGGACACCAGAGACCGGUCCUCAGAGAGAGAGGGCAGGACAGGAUAGGGCGAGGAUGUGGAUGUAAACGUGGAACAACUGCAGUCGGGGCCAAGAUUUAUGCAAACCAAAAUGUUGCCAAAAAUUACAAUUUAAUGGACUCGACACUGUGAGGAGAAUGUGCGUGCUCGUGUGCGUGGCGUGGAGUGGCGGCGUGGCGCGGCGUGGCCCAUAAUGAGCAGCGAGAAACUUGCAACAAAAGCCAAAGUCGACAAGACAAAGGCCACAACAACAACGGAAAGAAGGAGUCGUCGUAGGACCAAGAGAAACUAGAAAUGUAAGCAAAAGUAACUUCUCUAAUUUUGCAGGAAAUAUGAAGCCAUUAAAGUGCAGCAGACAAGGCGAAACAUGGCAACAUCUUGACUACUGCGGCACACACAUACCCAGACAGAGCAGAGGCAGAGUAUCCGCCUGAGGAGGAUCCAGCCUCCCCGGCCAUGUGGCGACUGUGUCCUGUAAAAGUUGUCCUCGAGAGUGUGAAAAUAAAUUGUUAAAAGUCGCAGGAGAAGUGAAAAUGGCAACUGGUUUGCAUGUGGCCCCACGACAAACAGGAACUUCAGUGGAACUCCUCUGCAUGGGUCAGGUCGGGCAAGCGGUAAGCAGAGGAAAGAAAAAGCCGUUUAUACAUAUCUUUAAUUGCCAACUUGUCCAGUGACAGGCGGCGAGAAAAAUGAGCACUGUUGAGGUCCAGCGAGGGAUUCUGGGCGACCAGCUGGUGUCACAUGUCCGGCGCUAGCUGCACUUAAUCACUGCCCCGGCCAGCCGGCUGUCGUGGCGACCCGGAGCAGCCGGACGGGCCUUUGCCCUUUGGGGAGUCACCUGAGUGGAGUCCGGGCACUAAGCCAUCCAGGAGAGCACUUUUAUUGGACAGAUUGAGAGCGAUAACGGGAGCUCCAAGCAAUUCGCGAUGCUCCCCAUGCUGCAGAGAUAUAAAUAUGCACCGAGUUUACCAUAGAGUCGGACUGCCCGAUGGAUCGACCGCAAUGUCGAGCUGCACCCGGAAUUAAGUUAAUUUUAAUUUACGCUGAUUAAUUGCAUUGUCAGGCCAGAUGAAAUGUCCUGCGCUGGUGCUGGUGAGAGUGCUCCACUGGAGGGCCCAGUGGCAACCGCAUGCCAAGUGUUAAAUGUCAGAGUAACGCUUUUAAUACAAUUUGGUGGCAGAUUCAAUUGAAACAAGUCAAAAGUGUUACUUUAAUUGCACGAAAUUCUCGCGCUGGUACAGUGCGUUUCGGGUUAAUAAUUAAGGGGGAGAGGGUUCUCGAAUAAGUGUUUUGUUUCUGCCACGGGUGCUCCAUGCUCGAGUUUCGGCAUCAUCUAAUCGACAGUCGUCCACAAAUUGCUGUUUAAGCAGCGCGCAUUGAAAUUCCGUUUGCAUAUCGGCAAUAAUGUCGUACAUUAGGUUGGUUUUUUCCUCUCCCCUCUUCUCAUCCAGCUCUCUCCGGGAUAGGGGAGCGGGGCCAUUAUCUAGCGCGGCGGGAAACACUCAGUUUAAUGGUCUUGGGUGUUCCAAAUUCGGGAAUUAAAUAGAACAUUAAGAGGUAAAGCGCUCCACAGAGAUCCCUCAAUUUGCAUAAACGGCCAGAGGCGGCACCUGAUAAACAGGUGUCGAACAGGAUAUAAAAUUCCAUUCGCUCUUAUUUCUAUUUGUUUCGUCUUCCCUUUUUGUACGUUUCC